rnacentral:lncRNA from 1 species
CUGGGAGCUACCGGUCCUCCGAGCCUCUCUCCCGCCGUCCAGCGCUCUUAGUGCGGCUCCGGGCCGCGCUCUGAGACACCGCGCGGUCGCUCUGCCGAGGAGUAGCCGGCCCUGGAAGUUCAGGCCCGCACCGGGCGAUGGUUCCCACUCUGCGCGGGGCCUCCCUCUGCCGUGGCCUCUCCUACCUCUCCUCACUCCCACCCUCGGAAUUCCCCGCCGGGUGUCCUCUGGGUGACCCGCAGGCGACGCCUCUUCCGGCAUCCACCUUCCCCAGGGUGGCUGCUGCCUUGAGGCGCGGCGGGGCCGAACCGACCUCCGCGCUCGCCAUCUGCUUUGCGCACUGGUUCCGGCCCGGCCACUCCACCUCCAGCCCGCGGGGAGGAGAGGCCAGGACGCCAAGGCUCCAGGGACGGUGCCAGGCAAGGGUGCAAGGAUCGGACUGGCCCCUGCCCGGCAUGACAGAGUCCGGAGCCCCAAGACCAGAGCGCCGCGCAGAGCGGGGCCGGAGGACCUUGGCUGCGGGGUCUUCAAGGGUCAUCGCCGCCUCAUUUCCUCGGCGGCCAAUUGGGGGCGCCAGAGAGCAGCGGACGCCCCUCCACCGACUUUCCAGCGCUUGGGAGGCGGAGUGAGACGCCCUGUAAUCCCAGCCCUGCCUUUCGCUGGUUGUGAGCUCUUGGCCAUGUUACUGACCUCUCAGAGCCUCAGCGCUGGGUUAAAAUAGAACUGGUGUCCUGAUAAUGGGUGAGGCCCCAGUGGAAUAACGCACGUGAAAUACACAUACUGGGCGUCCACUUAAUUAAGGCCCUAUCCUCAUUGCCUGCCAAGUUCCCAAAAGAGGGAUGGGUUUGGGUGGGAGGUUGAGAGGGGAGGUUCCCGGCCUUUCCAGCAGUGCCCCCUCUGCCGUCUGGGCCUGGCAGAUGCGUGUUGAUCCCAGCGUUUUCUCCAGCGUGCGCUCGCUUGCUAGGUCGACGUGAUCAGUGAGCUUUCUCCGCCCGUGUUCUCCUGAGUGUCCUGAGAGCAGCCCGUUUCUGCCCCUCUUGCGAUUACAAAGUCAAGCCCAGAGCCUGACCCACAGUAGUGCUCAAUAAAGGCUUAGAAAAA